UAGGGAAUAUUGGACAAUGGGGGCAACCCUGAUCCAGCCAUGCCGCGUGAGUGAAGAAGGCCCUCGGGUUGUAAAGCUCUUUUGUCCGGAAAGAAAAGCUUCGGGUUAAUACCCCGGGGUUCUGACGGUACCGGAAGAAUAAGCACCGGCUAACUUCGUGCCAGCAGCCGCGGUAAUACGAAGGGUGCAAGCGUUACUCGGAAUUACUGGGCGUAAAGCGUACGUAGGCGGAUGCGCAAGUUGGGGGUGAAAUCCCGGGGCUUAACCUCGGAAUUGCCCUCAAAACUGCACGUCUUGAGACCGAGAGAGGUAAGGGGAAUUCCUAGUGUAGGGGUGAAAUUCGUAGAUAUUAGGAAGAACACCAGUGGCGAAGGCGCCUUACUGGCUCGGUACUGACGCUGAGGUACGAAAGCGUGGGGAGCAAACA
rnacentral:rRNA from 1 species